ensembl:rRNA 5S_rRNA 5S ribosomal RNA
GCUUACGGCCAUACCAGCCCAAGAACGCCCUGUCUCGUCUGAUUCUCGGAAGCUAAGAAGGCUUGGGCCUGGUUAGUACUUGGAUGGGAGACCAUCCUGGGAAUACCAGGUGCUGUAAUGC